UGCGUGGACACUCACAUGAGCGCCUGCUUCUCAUGCGUAUGGGGUACUGCAGAGAGCUGACUCGUGGGAGACCGGAGGAUGCCUGAGGGGUCCCAGUUCUCUGGACUCCUUUGGGACCUGUCCUUGGAGGGUCACUUCCAACCAGGAUUCUCAGCAGGCCGAGAAGGAUGCCGACGUACCGACGUAAAGGCUAACAUUGCACAAACCUUAACCGAGGAACCUGGCGCUGGGCAGAGCUUCCUGAUGAAUGUGCAUGAUGUUCCUGAUGAACAGCCAUGUCUGUGAGGAACAUUGCUGUGCCCCCUGGACAGAUGAGGCUGAAGCAUGGAAGAGAAAAAGAGGGGUGGGGAGCGAGCAUGGUGUCACGCUGAGCCCCAGAAGGAAGACAAGCCCCGAAGUUUUAUCAGAUGGUCAGCCCUUCUCUUUCCCACUCCUUUGUAAAUACUUCUGAACAAAGAAAAAGAGGAGCACCCCCACAAAGUGUAAGCAGCCAUUCUGACAUCCUUAGGA